UUUUUUUUUUUUUUUUUUGCUUGAAAACAUACCUGUAAAACAGAAAAAAAUUUCAUUUGCUCUCUAUCCAUGCUCAAAAGCACUGUUGUCAGGAUCUUAUUACAGCUUCUAAACAACAUCAUUGUAGUCAAGAUGAUUGUAUUCUUCAAACAGAUAAGACCAAUGGACAUGACAGUGUUGGAAAAAAUAUUUUGCCAAAGGAAUUAAAGAGAGAAAUAAAAACCCUAAACAUUUUGUUUUUGAAAAGGGAUGUGAUGACUCUCAGUAAAAUGUGCUUUUAUUUCUCAUGAUUCUAAUUUGGGGAUUUAAAAUUUUUUAGGCUUGAACAUCUAACAACUUAUUUUACCAACUCAGAUGACUACUAUCACAUUUAAAUGCCACUGAUUUUAAGCAUACUGUCAGGAACUACUCUAUCUAGAGGAUCAGAAUCUAUUUUACCUGAGAUGUCAGUCCUCUUUCACUUAGGCAUCAGCUAAGAGAUUUUCUUGCUACUGAACAAAGUCCAAGUUCACUGUAAUGGCAAAGAAGAUGAGAGUGUCUGUGUUUGGGAGGAGAGUUAAAAUUAUUGCAGCUUUUCAUGCCAAUAAAAAAAAAUAUCUCUCUGUGAAUUCAGUGUUGCUGGCAAAACCCCAGUCUGAAAUAGGAUUUCUUACUCACUUAACAUAUUCUUCUGGUGUGAAGGAAUAAUUUCUAACGAAACAUCUUAUGGAAAGCUGGUUGCUGAUUUUGCUAGGCACACUUACUGAAAAUUAGUUCUUCUAAUUGCCAAAAAUACUUAUUUUCCAAAUGUUUCUACCUUGAUUCUAGCCAGCAAGCAAGAUAUACACUGAUGGGUAGAGGAGGUAUGAAUCAAACCAUGAGUGUUGUGGAUACCUGGUAACACUUCAGCAGGUGGAAGAUCAAUGGAAAGAUAAACUCUGAUUGCGACAGGCUUAGGAUCCAGCCCUAUGUAUAUGAUUGGUUUUAUUACCCAAUUAGUCUACUCCUCCUCUUUGAAAAGGAUUACAUCCCAGACAUAGAUUUGCUCUAAAGAAAUAAAAACAAUGAUAAAAUCUCAAAACUCAGUAUGUACAAUAUUGUCUGUAAUUUCAGUUUUCCCCUCAUUUAUACUUAACAUAAGGAGAUCAAUUUUAUAAUGGCUCUAAAGUGUUAGCUAAAGUCUAUGAGUGUAUAUAUAUUUUAUAUAUAUAAAUAUAUAUAUAAAUAGUUGCUAUAUAUAUAUAUAUAUGUAUAGGGGUGUAUGAAUACAUAUAUAUAUUUAUACAAAGAUUUCAUCUGUAUUGAACUUCAUUUUGUGUUCCUUUGCAUACCACUGUUAAAAGUUUGCUUUUUAAUCAGCACUGCCAGUACUAAAGUAAGUAUUUUAAGUAGCACAGAGAUGAAUGGCAGAUUUUCCAUGGCCAGACUGUGCAUUAGUUAGCCUUGUGGAUAAAAGCCAGUGGUUUCUGGACUUUUGAUUUUGUUUUGAGACAAAAUUGUCAUGUUUCAAGAAAAUUAAAAUUAAAGAAAAAGGAUGGUUAAAGAGUUCAAGCUAAAUUAAGCUUUGUUAAGAUGUUUAAAUGAAAAUGUAUAUACAGAAAAAAUAAGAAUGCAGUCCUGCAAGUUGUUGUGUGAAACCUAUUCCAGUGACUGCAACCAAAUUAUAUGUCAGAAUUACUGGAUUAGAACUCUAUAGGUUAAGAAAUCCUCUCUUUGUUUGUUUGCUCGGUUGUUGUUGACACUUUGAAUUUGCAUAAAUAUUUUAAUCCAAAAUAUUUGGGUAAACUACUGAAUACCUUUAAUUUCCCAAUUCUUUCUAAACAUCUUUGUUGAUCCCCUGAUGAGCAAUAUUAAUGAAGUUUGAAUAUAUGCCUGGCUACCCUUACCAGUCAUUUUGACAGUGGCUCAUAUGGGGCUGUGUUAUAGAUUUGUGCUGAACACAAGAUUGAUAAUAAAGAGAUGGGGUUUUUAUUACUGAAAAUAGCUUACACAGAGCCAAGGCCUUUCCUGCUUUCAUACUGCCACACUGGGGAAGAGACUGGGGAUUCACAGGAGGCUGAGAGGAGACAGAGUCUGGACAGGUGACCCAAACUGACCUUCACUGGGGAAGAAGGAGGAAGUGGGGGAAGUGGGAGGGGGGGCAGUCAGAAUGAAGGCAUUUGUCUUCCCCAGUAACCAUUACAUGGGACGGGGCUCUGCUUUCUUGGGGAUGGCUGAACACCUGCCUGCCCAUGGGAAGCAGUGAAUUAACUCCUUGUUUUGUUUUGCUUGUGUGCAUGGCUUUCAUUCUCCCUAUUAAACUGUUUUUAUCUCAACCCACAAGUUUUCUACCUUUUACCCUUAUGAUUCAGUUCUCUCCUUGAUGCUGCUGGUUGUGUGAGUAGCUGCAUGCUACUUGGCUCCUGUCUGGGGUUAAAUCAUAAAAUAAAGUAAAAAAGAUUGUGGAACACAUUGAUAUUUAAAGAUAUAAAGGAUAAAAGGGUGCAGAAUAAUACCUAGAGCACAGACUUUUGGACUUUGAUAUUUACCAUGCAUGCAUGGCAGAGGAAGAGACAGUUACAUGUCUUAACAGUUCAAGAGCAAAUUUGCUGGACUGCAGUGGUAGAACAAGAAGAAAAAAAAAAAAGCCAAAAAGCAAUGAAAGGAAAAGAAAAGAACACACACACAGCAAGCCCAGUAGAGGGAAGGGAAAACAAGGAGGAAAGACAUAGGGAGGAAAGAUCAAAUGGUAGAAUCAUUUGCAGGAAGAAUGAGAGAGGGAUGAGAGAAAAUUUUGCUCCACACAGACAGAAAACAGCAGAUAUUUGUGACCACAAAAAAAGCAAAUCAGAAGGCAUGUUGCCAAAGUAUAUUCAGGAAAUAGAAAGGUUUUGCUAUCAGUGAGGUGGUAUCUGAGAAUAGUUCAGUCAAAACAUAAUGUCUCACAGAAAAUUUUUCUUCUUAAAAGCUUUGGUUCAACUGCUAAAUACGUAGUUUACAUCAGUAUUAAUGUCUCUGGCAGAUGCCUAUUGAAAUAGGUGAAAAGAAUGACGUUCAUGUAUUCGAAUGGAGAAAUACAGUAGAUUGGAGUAUGCAUAGAAGCCUACACCAUAGAUUUUUAGCAAUUUGGUGCAGUGAAUGCCAGUGAAAUCAAUUCCACAAACAUACAAAAAACUUGUAGAAUUUUAGAUGGUCAUGCACUGACUUUAUGGAUCUCUGGGAAAAAUGCUAAAGUCACCAAGGAUCAAUAGUAAUUCAUGUACAAAAGAAGUAGUCUCAUGUGGAGGACUUUAUGAUAGGAAUAUUGUGUGGCAUCCACAGAAAAAGAGCUUCUCAAAAGACAGAGACUAAUAUCAUAGCACCUAGCUUUGGGAUUAUGUGGAUUAUGUGUUGUUCACAGAUGAGAAGAAUUCUAAACUAAGAAAUUAUAUAAAAUUGUAUGAAGUCAUGUAGAAUCUAAUGCUGAUUCCCCAGGUGCUUUUGCUUUCCUCCUACUUCUCAUAACCUUUAAGUUUUGCCUCCUGCUGGAGGUAAACAGGAUAAGAGUAAUCAGCUGCUAGUAAAAUCCAGAUUGUCAAACAGCCAUAUUCCUAAAAUAGAACUUUUUACUAAAGAAAGUAACAGAUUUAUUCAAGUUGUCACAUAAAUUAUAUGAGUUGAUGAUGUAUUUUCUUCUUUUAAAUGUUCACAACAAAAGGGAUCAUAACAAAUGUUUGCAAGAUGAAUCAUCUCCACUUCAUUUUUAUUUUAAGAUUUAACAAUCUUGUACAGUUGAAUCCAUCCAACCAACAAACAAACAAAUCCUCUAACAAAAGUGUGUUUUCAAGUCUUCUAUCAUCACUUGGACACUGAAAUAAAACCCCCAAUUCUUUUAGUGCUAGUCAUUCCCCCCCCACACACACACCUAGAAAAACCCACAGCACAACUCUUUUGUAGACAGUAUGGAAUAUUGAAAUAUUUCUGUAUUCAUAAUCCUACAAUGAAUGCUACAAUGAUUUGUCUAAAUUCUGUUUUUCUUUAGACAAUAUUGAAGACUUCUAUGAAUGUGAACAGAAAGAUACAGGCAGUAGUUUGCAAGGCUUAAGCUUAGUGCACAAAAUUUUGCUUCAAUGAGCCUUCUAAAACUGACAAAAUAUUUAACAUCAUAUUUCUUAGAGCAGUUUACACAGAGAAAGGUAUCCAAAAGAGCAUACUUCUGAUGAAGGAGACAAGUAAUCUGAUGAGCUUCCUUCGGAAGAAAAGAAAGUCCUUCAAGGAUGACUGAACCAGCCUAACAGAUAUUUUCUAAGCUCCUUCUGGAAGAGGCUUUGUUUCUGUGUUGAGUCUAAAGAAAACACAGUGAGAGAAACAAACCAAUAAAACCAGCCUCUGUGACUAAUCUCCUUUGAGUUAAAACAUAUUGAUUCAAAACUUUGUGGUGCAGUGUUUGUUCACUGGUCAAAGCCUGAUAUGAGUACCAGAGCAAUUUAGCUACAGAAUGCACAUGACUUUGAUUAACCAUCAAGCUAACAGAGAGAACAAUCCCAUCCCCUCUAGAGAAGAGGAAAAGAAAACAAUUUCUAGAACAUUUCAAAUCAGGCAGCUAGUCUCUUCUAUCCUCUAGCUAAUAAGCUACUCUCUGCAUGAGUCCUCUUUUUGACUGGGAGACUUUUAAAUCUGCCAGCUGGAAAACAGGCUUCCAUGUGGCUUCUCAUCUCUGGUACCUAUUUGUCUUGACAAACAGGGCCAGCUGCAAUUCUGGGUCUUUAAAGAACUUUGUGGCCUCUAUAGUUGCCCCAUGUAUAUCACUGCAGUUAAUGAAGAUGUCUUAACACCCCAGCAGAGGAUUCACCUAGUGGAGAAAAUACACCAUACUUGCACAGGAUCUCCUUCAUGCAGAGUAUAACAAGGAUAUUCACCUUAAACUUUCAAACCUUAUAGAUAUUCGGUUCAUUCGAAAAGAGUUACAACACACCAUCUGCUCUCAGUCAAAGCAAAAUCUAAACAGAAUAAAAAUAACUUUAAAAUCAUCUUUUUGCUCCUUCUGAAUCUCUUGAGGUUGAGCACAGAAUUAGACCUCCAUGUUAUUUAUACAGAAAUCUGAGGCAUGCUGGAUGCUUCGUAGAUCAAAUGCAAAUGACAUUUUCUCAGACCUUAGAAGAUAGUUUAAUUUUAAACUAGCUGCAAGUUAUAAAAACUGGAUAAGGGGAGAAGGAGUGAAGGAGGAAAAAUGUUACACUAAUAUUAAAAAAAAAUUAAAAGACCCAUGCUUUGUAGUUCUCCUGUAAUAACUCUGCUCACAAUUUUUCUUGUAGUUUAUUUUUAACAUACUUUCUUCUAGGAUGAAAGUUAAAAAAAUUUCCCUCUAUGUUAUCUCCAUCCAUGAUUUUGUGGCAUCCUGAAUUGGCAUUUCUCUCCCUUUUAUUUAAUUACCCAUAACAGCAGCCUAUCAGUCCCUACUUAUACCACUUUACAAAGCAGACCACUUAAAAACCAAUUUGUGGUGUGCAUAUAGAGAUAUAAAAAGGGAGAAACAUGCUGUAUAGGGAAACGUACUCACUCUUUAUCUUAGGUUGAGUUCCUUAGUAAAUUUCAUGACUAGGUUAAUAAGAAACCUAUACUGGAAACACACACAAAGCCAUGAAGAUUCAGAUUGUCCUUUUUUAAUUAGUAUUUUCUGUGAUUUACUGUACUCAUAAGAAAUGUUACAAUGGGCAUCAUCACCGUAUCAGAGCAAAAGCUGGACAAAUGGGACUAGAUAUAGACUUUUUUAUGAAUCUGUUACAAAAACUUAGGAAAUAAAGAAGAAAAAAGUUUGAGUGUAAUCCAUAACACUCAGAAUUCAACAAACUUAGUUGCCAGAGUAAAGCAGUCAGUCUAAGUCACUGGGCAACUCCUUUUUUUUUUUAUAGUUGAGAAGGUGCAGUGCAGAGGAUCAGCUCACUAGCUUUCUCUCUUUGGCAGAGGCUUGUCUUCUUUGCUGCAUCUUGGUCUACAUAUCUGCUUAUUUGCUUUCUUCAGAGAUCUAUAGUUUUCAUUUCUUCAUAUCAAUUGGGUAUAAGACUUACAUUUCAUGGGACAGAGACAUAUUACUUACUGGUAUAAAUAUUGUUUCUAAUGUACAUUGGACUUGUAUAGUUUGUAUGUAGCAUAUUUGCAUAAAGAUAUGAAUAAUAAUAUGGAUUGAUUGAGGUAUUUGAAACAAUAGAAGUGCCUACUUUCUACUGAGCAUUUUUUCUACUGUUAAAAUGUUAUAACACUGUACAGCAAGUGAUACUUCUAUGUGUAACUUGCAUUCAACAUCUCAACAUAUGCACAAUUAGCAUCAAGCUACUUGCUAAUGAGCUCACAUUAGAGCUCACAAGAUUUAACAUCACAUUUUUGUUGAUCUUUAUACUACAUCAGCUGCUCCUGUUCCUCUUUUGACUCUUGGCUGGUAAUAAGGAUUCAGUCCAUCAGACAUUUCAAAAUGUGCAACAACUCAGCAAAACAGAUUGGUUAUGCUGGAUUGGCUGCAAAUAAGAAGGACAUGACCACCAUGAAGCUCUAGUAGAUGUUUUGUGCUGGUAGAUAUAUACCCCAGUGCCUACUGGUCACUCUGACAUAGUGACCAUCACUGUCAGCUUGAAAAAAUUCCCAUCAGGGAAGAAAGUGCAGGACUGCUGCACAGUUGCAUUAAUGUGUGUGAAAGAGUGUGUGAGCCAUGAGCCAGUGUCUUGUGUCCUACAUUAUGUAUGACACCUGGCACACCUGUAGUGUUACGGUGCAUGUUUAUAGCAAGUCAUGGAUCGCCAAAAGACCAACCAUACCAUAUGAUACACCAAUCUUCAAUAUAGCAAUAAUUUCUAACAACCUAGAUUUAUUUAUAUCUUCUGUGUAAAUGGAGAACAGUUGACAACAUUACAAUAAAAAAGUUGUGAUACUUGUAAAAUGGGAACUCAUUGAAAACUUAUUUUCUAAAGCAGUUUUACAGACUGUGAUGAUAAAGUUUCUCUUUAAUAUUGUUUUCUGCAUAGCUUGGUUCAAAAUCUCAGUUAAUACAGUAUUCUUGACCUGGACAGAAACUUCUUCAAGAAUUAAGUAUGUCUGAGAAGUUGUAAAGAUUCUGUAAUAAAUAUAUCAGCAAACCUGAAGCAUAGACUCCUCUUUUACUAAAAUACCUUGAUAUAUGCCAAACGAAGAACAUUUAAAGGAAAAUAUGGUCUUAUUUAUGCAUUUGCAUGCCCACUUAAUGUGUAAGGCAGUUGGAAAAUUUCACUUCCCACAUUUUAAUAUCUUAAAAUGUUUUGUUUUUCUCCCACAUAGCCCCAUCCCCUUUACCACCACCACCAUCCCCCACCCUGGCCUAGGGAAGGAUUUCCAAGUCUCUUACAAACAAUUGAAAACUAAAAUACUUUGAUCUAAAAAUUUCACAGCUGUACUCUCUGGAACAUCUAGUUUGAAGUACUCCAUGUUUUAAUUUCCAUUUUAGUCCCUUAGUCAGGCUACUGUCUAUAAUAUUUUUAUAUGUUUUCUCUUCAUUAAGUGUAACAGGUGACAUGACCUUACCUAUGUCACGGGAAAGGAAAUCUGGUGGAGGAGUAGAAUGUAUGUACAAUUACUAAUAUUUAAAUGUUCCCUUCUCCCUCAACAUGGGGGUAAAUAUAUUUCACAGCUCAGCUGCAGAAAAAAAGAAAGAAAAGAGUAUGAGAUAUUUUACCUUAGUAUAGAUUUACCUUUAAAAAAUGGACACCAAAAUAAAGGAAAAUUCUUCCUUUAACUAUGAGAUUAAGCUAUGAGAAGAGAAUUUAUUAAUUUUUUUUCUUCUACCUCUCUAUGCAUUUUGGCUAAAAAAAAGUAUAAUCUUUCCAGUCUUCUUUCUAACAUAGACAUAAUUUUUAUGAAUCUUGAACAGUAAGGUUCCAAUGGCCUUUGACCAUAUCAUAGAAUAUGUGACUAAUCAGUAUUCAUUCAACUUUGUUAUACAUACUCAUUGUUAUGAUGCUACUUGCUGUUUCAGUAGUGAGAUUCAUGCAAUGCAAUUUACAAGUUAUUUAUUUCACAUGCAGUGCUUGCAGCAUUACCCAGAACACAGUGACUUUAAUUGAACUGUUUCCAAAUGUCGCCAUUUACUAAGGACAUGUCAAGAGAUAAAGAUGAAUGCAUGAUAGAUGGGCAGAUAUAAAGGGGCUUAAUUUCCUAUUAAACUGCACUAAAAAGUCCAUACAACUCGCUUCUACCCACUCACCACUUCUGUCUCAAUUUACAGAAAUUAUAAAGAUCUACCUCUUCAUUCAAAAAUGUAUCCUUUCUUUUUUUUUUCCAAUUUCUUUUUGUUUCUCUUUUUGAUAUUCACUUUUUGACAAAAAGACAGGUAUCAACCCUUGAGGAAAGAUCUUGACACAAGUCAAAGAUGUUUAAUAAUGGAAAAAUUUCUUUCAGUGAGAAAGACACUAAUUUGUACCAGUUUUAUUGCAGUGAGACAAGACAAUCUUAUGAAGUUCAUAUUUCCUAUGAACUUAAAAAUCUGACAUGUAACUCCAAGCACUUUUCUUAGAACAAAGACAAGACAUACUUGAACUGUAGGCAACAUUCCCUUAACAGUUGAUAGUAAUAGAAUUUUUUAAGUAUUUUAGUACCAAAAGAAUCAGCAUGCUCUUAAAUGGAAAAAAAUACUCCUAGGAAAAGGAAACGUCCUAAUUUUUCUGUAGGAUUACAGUUGUUUUUUGUACUGGAGAAAAAGGUUUUACUAAUUGCAGUGAAAUAUAGCAAGCAAACUGACAACAUAUUGCUUUCUAUGAUCUCCUCACAGAUAGCAUUACUGUUUGAAUGCAUUUGAUGUUUGAAAUGACUCACCAAAUGAAAUCCUAAUUUAUAUCUUCAUUGUCAUAAUUUGUAUUUCAGUAAUCCUAUAAUGGAGCAAACAUAUUUGCAUGGAAGUAUCUUUAAAAAAUUAAAAUUUCCACCAUAAAAAAUAUAUUUUUUAACCAUGUGUAAUUUGUGACAUAUCGAUUCAAUUAAUCAGGAGUGAGUCAAGUUGUCCAAUUUAUCAAGAAAAAUUUACAUAUGUAGGUCUCUAUUUAAUCAUCCAAUAAUUAUUAAAAAAAAAAAGAAAACAAGAAAAUGUGUUGUGUUUUUUAUUUUCCUCAUGAUAUUGCUACGGGCUGCAAGGAGCUAUAUAGGCAAACAGUGAAAGUCAGUACAAGUCCUAAAGAGCUCUCAGUCAAACACUACUCUUCCGAGACAGCAAAAGAAGGUUCUAUCUGAAGCUAUUUAGUUCCUCAGCUUUAGUUAGAUGAGAAAGUCAGCAUUAGUUUAUUUUCUGGUAAAUUUAGACAAGAAGGAGAAAUUGAGUGACUACAUGAGGCUCAGAAAAUGAAGUGGGAGUAUAUAGUUAACUAAGUGUUAAUCCUACAGCUUUAACAAAUAGUUCAGUGGUGUAAACAUAAUUCUGUACAUCCAUUGAACAUAACUGAGUUACUGGGAAUAUUUUGUAUCUGAAGUUCAAACUGCUUUAGUCAGACAAGAAGCUUUUGUUUGAGAGAUUUCUCUUUCUGAUUAAAUGAAUAUGAAUUACAUUACAAGUAAUUGCCAUAAAGAAUUUUGAAAUCACCUUCUAUAUAUUUUCUUUACAUUUGCAGAAAAUAUUAUUUUUCCUUCUGUCAACACUUCUAGUAGUGUAUUCAGCUGACAGAAUAUCCAUUAAAAUUAACUAAUGGAGGUGAGAACGCGGCUUUCAAAUUCAUUUUAAUCUUGAAACGUUCUCUUUUUGAGUACUUGAUUUGAGGGAAACUUUGAAGUAUUUCAGAUUAAAUGAAAAUUUUUUACUCUUAGAAAAUAUUAGUGGCACACAAGGACAUAACUUUUUGUGGCUUACAGCUUUACAUAUAUGGGGAUUGCUACAAGUGUGUUUGAUCUGUUCACAUUAUUUUAGGUAAACAAUGGAGGAGCAUUUGAUUUCCAAGUGACAAAAACAGGAACACUGAUCAAAUAUGCUAAAGCAUGUCCAUUUCUGCAUGAGAAUAAGUCUUGCAAGUUGCUAUUCAGAAUGUGUCUUUUGCCCAUGAUGUAGUUUGCAUUCUUAAUACAGCUCAUACAUGUCCUGUAAAUUUGUCAGUAUUUUCAUGGGUGUACAUUGUAACCAGUAUGGGAACUGAAUGGUUAAAUACACGUCAGAUACAAAUUUUUAAUUUGAUUCAAAUGAGGGGGAAAAAUCCCUCUCUAUGUCUAGCUCUUUGGUGUAACUAGGAACAGGAUUCAGUAGUAAACGAAGCUACAAGAGGAAUAGAAAAUUUUCAGGCUUUCCAAAAUUCAGUUCCUAUGAACACCCAUUCUUCUGCACAUGCAAGAAAGAUUAGAAGUCACAAGAAAACAAAAUCCAGUGAUUAGAUAGAAAGAGAACAGCCAUUAGUAGCACCUUUUGGGAAAAGGUGUAUGGCAUUUUGUACAGAUAUUGUAUUGUGGAAUGACACCAGGGAAAGUAAUAUUCACUUCUUUUCAGUUCUGUGCUUAAAAGCUGUGGUUUGAUGCUUGCCAGUAAUCCAUACAUUUAUGUCAAUGGUACUGUAUGAAUAAAUAGACCCUGGCAAUUUAUCUUCUUUGGUUCAUGUAGUCAUAAACUUUAAAACAGAUACUAAAGAUAUUUUACAUUUAAAAUUUUGCAUACUUGCCUAGAAUUUUAAGCAAUGGUCUUGCUUAAACAGGAUAAUUAUCAUACAGUCAUAGUUUGGAAGGGAGGGGACCUUAAAAAAUCACCUUUCUCCAAUCCCCUGGUCAUAGGCAGAGACCAGGUUACUCAGAGCCCUAUCCAAACUGGUCUUGAACACUUCCAGGGAUGGAGCAUUCACAGUUUCUCUGGGAAACUUGUUUCAGUGCCUCACCACCCUCACAGUCAAGAAUUUCUUCCCUAAUACCUAAUCUAAACCUACUCUCUCUGGGUUUGAAGCCAUGCCCCCUUGUCCUAUUACUGCAUGACCUUUAAAAAGCCUUUCUCCAGCUUUCUCAUAGGCCUCCUUCAGGUACUGGAAGGCUGCUCUAAGAGACCUCUCCUCCAGACUGAAUAUCCCAACUCUCAGCCUUAUUUCAUAAGAGAGGUGGUCCAGCCCUCUAAUCAUCUUGAUGCCUCUCCCCUGGACUCACUCCAGCAGGUUCUUGUUCUUCUCAUGCUGGAGGCCCCAGAGCUGGAUGCAGGUGGGGUCUCUCCAGAGCAGAGCUGAGGUGCAGAAUCACAUCCCUCAGCUUGCUGGUCACAGUCCUUUGGAUGCAGCUGAGAACACAUUUGGCUUUCUGUGCUCUGAGUGCACAUUGCUGGGUCAUGUUCAGCAUCUUGUCAACCAACAUCCCCAAGUCUCUUUCCUCAGAGCUUCUUUCAAUCCAUUCUUAAUUCCCAUAAUUAUAUGGAAAAGAAUUUAGCCUAAUACCCUUCUAGGAUUAUUCAUAAUGGAUUAAUUGGAAAUGCUAUUCAAGAGAGUCUGCUUUGAGAUUUGCCAAAAGUGAAUUUUAAUCCAAAAUGUGUGGGUGUUACUUUUCUUUGAUUGUUUAAAUCCCCCAUCACAUGCCACUGCAUAACAUUAUUACCACUUCUUGCUUCCCAGCAGCAACUUGAUGCCAUCCAAUUCUCCAAGAGAAUUUUAAAUAUUUAGAAUACUGUCCAAAUAUGAACUCAUCUGGAACACCAAGAACUACAAUUAAACUAAUUAAACUCUUUCAAUCUGGCUUUUCAAAUGAUUGAAAAUAGGUAGAAUCUUUAGCUGAAUGACAAAGUCUAUAACACACUGCAUUCCCUUUUGUUAAUUGCAGUUUGUAUUGUCAAGAUUUUAAUGAGCUGAUAAACUUGUUCUCCAACACUAUUCAACAAAUUAUGUUGUGUUUAUAAGUCCAUAAAUUAGUAUAUUGAGUAAGAAAAAAGCCAUUAAAUUCAUUGCAUACUUUUCUUUUACAUGUAUUGCAUGCAAAUAAGACCAGCUAGAGGAGAUUCUGUUGAACAGUCAUAUCUACUGGGGCAAAAUUAUAAUUAUUUUUAUCAAUUCCACAUCUUAAAGUCACAUAUGUAGGAGACUUAUUGAGACACUAAUUUGCUAUUUAGGACUUGAAUAAACAGGAGAUAAUUUUCUAAUGGUUAGAAAGUAAAAGAAUGCAAGAAAUUGACAAGUCAAAAUCAAAGACAAUACCAGUCAUACACAUUGCCCCAGUACAGGAUCAGGCCCUUUGUCAUUUAGCUUUACACUCUGUGUCCAAGUCAUCCGAUGUUUAUAUCUGUUAAUUUUUUCCAUUUUAAAAUAGUCAUAAAUGCUAUCUCACUUGCACCCAGUAUAUUCACAUCUCAUAGCUGAACAGGCUUAUUGCUAUCGGUUUCUGAGUACUUUGAAAGUGUGAACUGUUUAGCAAGACAUAAGUGGUGUGCCAAGAGCCUGAAGCAUCAGCUCUGAAAGCACAGGCUGCUUCACUGAUGGCCUGCAGAGUCCCAGAUGCUGGGUCUAUGUUACUGUGUAGAGCAGCCCUCAGGGUAGCCUCAAGGCCAGAAGAGCUUGCCAUCUACCUUGAUUGCUUCUUCAGUCAUCCCGAAGGCAAGCUCUGGGGCAAACCUGCUGAUCAUCCUGGAUGGCAUUGGGAAUUGGUGAUGUACCCAACCCAUCAGCAACAAUAUUUGCACGUAUGCUUUAGCUAUUCUAUUUGCCAUUUCAUUGACAUCAAGUAGGGAAAAAAAGAAAAUAGUCUGGGGAUUAUCCCUUGAAGAUGCCCUCAGGUUCUUCCCAAAAGGUCUCAAAAUGUUUGCUCUCAUAAGGGCAACAGGGACUUUAGGCAACCUUAGUUGCCUAAAGAUUAAAGAUAUAAUACUGAUGAUAAAAGAUAUAAUGAAUGCAAAAUGUGCACCUCUUAUUUACAGGAAAUAUGAAGUCUUCAUUUUAGCUACAGCAUGGAGGUAUUCACAGAAUAGAUGAGUCUGAAAUAAUGAAAUUAUUCCACAUAAUUUAAAAAUGUUAUCUUUCUGAAAAGCAUGGUGCUGUGAUUCAAAGACAGUUAUUCUCAAUCCAUUUAUGAUGUAUGUAUUCCUGGCCUGAUAAAGCAUAGUGCAUAAGUUAAUGUCAACAUUUAACUACUGAUGUGGGUAACAUGGUGAGGGUACUCCAUGCUUACACAUUUUAUUUCAUACGUAAGAUAAGACAGGGAUAACUACUGCAGCUCAUACAGUUCACUUAAGUGUAGCAACACCCUUUUAUUGCCUGCUCAGAUGUGAAUCUACCAGAGCAAGAAACCUGUAUCAGUUGGACACUCCACUUUUUGUUUUGUCUCCCUGUGCCCUAAAGUGAUACCCUUGAAGUUUCUUUUCUUUCACAGAAAAAAGCAAUGUGAUUAGAGUACAUUGUUUCCUCUGGAAUCAAACUAGGUCAGAAAUGCACAUGAGCUUAAAACAAACAAACAAACAAACAAAAAAGGGAGCUGGAAGUGCAGUCUAUGUAGGUAUGCCACUAAAAUAAACAACUAAUUAAAAAAGAUAAUUCAUUAAGUUGAUAACUGUGCUGGUUCCAUUGGUACCAUUCCCUCCUUUGUCCUAUCCUGUGGUAAGCAUCAUGGUAGAAGAGGGUUCUGGAUUCAAACAAAGCAUAAGUCCAAGAGACAGUCUUCAUACUGGACCUUUUGAAAAAAAAAAAAAAAAAAUCCAGACCUCAAACCCAAUAAUUUAUAACCAGAACUAGAAGAAAAUAUUUUUAAUGAAAGAUGAUUUUGGAGCACCCAUUACUGCCAAUGAGAAUGUUCUGUGGUUAGUUUGCAUUAUGAGACAAUAACAUGCUGCUUUCUUUUUUUUUUUUUUUUUACUUUUAUUAACUGCUAUUAUUGUAGUGCCUAAUAUUUUGGCAUCUCUAGGGUAUCUGACCUAACACAAAAUGGCACCUGCUUUAAACUAAGAAUAUUUUAAAUUAGGAAGGUAUAAAUAAUAUAACUUAAAAAUUGCUUACUAGAGGAUCCAAAGCUUUAAGUGUUGCAAGGGACCUCUUCAUAAGUACUUCUAGUUAGGUGUCCGCUAUUAUAUUCAAUAAAUCCUCUUUAUAAAUAACCUAGGCAAUGAAAUCAUUCUGAUUAAAUGUACAGAUAACAGAUUUCAGGUUCAAUGGAUAACGGAGCUCACCACAGCUACAAAGGUGAUUGAAGCUCUUGAAGACAUGGUUACUUCAUUUCUGUUAGAAAGUGUCCUGUUACAUUGUAUUUGGUAGCGUAUGAAAGAGUGUAUAUUUACAAAACUGAAUGUUUUGUAAAAAGGAGUGAGUUGAAGUAUUUGAUUAUCAUAUUAGAUGAUUAUCUCAUGUACUCUUAAUGUAACGCUUGGUGAAAUUUAAGAUGGAAAAUCUUACAGAAGUAGAAUUAUCUGCUCCAUGGUUAGAUUAAGUAAGUCUUGUGGUGGAAUAUAAUUUAUUCUUACAAUAUCUACCAUUCAACAAGUCAUUAGUAACAAUUCAAAUUAUUUCUAAAAUUAUCCAGAGAGGUGUGAGAAAGACUUCAGAUGUCUAGCUUCAUAAACUAAUACAGCAAUCCAUAAGAAAACAGAUUAAGAAGUUAACUGGAUCAAAGAGUGUGAGUGCUUAAAUAUGGAGCAAAUAUUUAGAUGGAAGGAGAAAGGCUUUCAACAUUUCUAAAAAAUGAAUAAAAAGUCAAUAAUUGGAAAGGUUUUUUAAAAAAAUCAACUCUAAAUAAGUAAAAAAAUCCUAAUAGAUUAUUACUGAAGAUUGUAUCUUCAGUAUUGCUUGUUAUCUCUCAAGCAAAAUCUGUGGCCCUCUGAUGCAAGUUUCAGACACAUUCUUCAGCCCACAAAGCAGAAUCAGUGCACUUUUUAUCUCUAAAGUACUGUAAAUAUGAACAUUGCUUCUCAUUCUUCCUCUUCUGCCUCAGUUUGCAUUCGGAGUGAUUUCUCCAAGUACAUUUAAUUGUUUCAUCACCAUUUGUAAAGCAAAUGGCUUUAAUCAAAUUUCUUGCUUUAUGACUGUUCUGGUUUUGUAUUUUGGCUUCAGAUUUUAUGAGGGUUUUUAUUUGGCUGAGUUUUAAUAUCAUUGAAGGUGUCCUGUUUGUAACUCGUCAGCCAAACCUCUAUUUGGCUCAUUUAAUUGUCUCUUUGUUGUCCUCACUAAUCAGAUCUGAUUACUUUCACAAGCACUGUGUCUGUGUCCAAGAAGCAAUCAAUACUAUCUGUUUACUUGUGCAUAAUUUUUUUGUCAUCAUCAUAUCACUGAAACCAUAUCUGCACAGCUGGAUCUGUUCUGGUCACUCUUCUGUCUUAUUUUUCUCUGAACCCAGACACCAGUCCUGAGAAUCUCAAGUCCCUUUCUCUGGCAAAAGGUGUUCUAUUCCCAUUGUUUUAUACUUCAAAAAUCUCUACACAGAUAUUCAGAUUUAAAAUCCUGUUUGCUUUGAACUCAAGGACAACAAUUUAUUUCCUCAAUUGGUCUCAUGCAAGUAAAAUUCAGAAAUAUUCUAGUAAGAUGUAUAGCUAGAAGACAUGCAUCACAUAAGUAUAAACACAUUGGAUGUUCAGAUAUUUUAACUAGACAUGUUUGCAGCUGCACUUGCGUUUGCAAAUACUCUGACACUUUUCUUGUAUUUACCACUCAAACCUGGUUUCUCUCAAAGUUUGGAGACAACCAGGACUGACUUUCAAACAAAAUUAUAUGUGUAGCCCUGAUCGACAUAUUGUAUUUAUAAAGGGAUUUUUUACUCUAAAAGAAAUUUAUACAGUAGGCAAAGUCCUUAAGCCAGUCCUUAGCUUACUGUGUCAUUAAUAUAUAAUGUGACAGGACCAGUAUCAAAUAUAAAUAUAAUUAUGCAUGCAGAUGAACUUUUAAUUUGGUUGCCCUGGAUUACAGCAAAGUUAACAGAAUUACAAUGAUGCUAUUACAACUGAAAUGAAAAUAAGAUGCAUUUUCAUGUUGCUGGUAUAGAGACCUGGCUUUAGCAGUAUUCAAAUCCUGCUCCAACUUGAUUCAUUCACAGAAAAUGAGCUCAAAGUAACACCAUAAAAUGUGUUCGCACUCUCUCUGGGCUUCAUACAGCUGCUUUAUGGUUUGUUUUAAUAAAAAAACAUUUUUAUUGUUGCAGUAUGUGAUAAAAAUGACAUAAAUAUGACAAAUAAAUAAAUUUGGAUAAAUAUGGCCACAUCCUGAGGCCUGCAAGGUACGAGGAUGAAGAGGCUCUGUAUGAACUGAGGAGAUGAGGUGGCCAGUGUAAGACUAGAACUCUGGAGCCCAUUUGUUUUUAUAUAUAGCUUGUUUCUGUGUGACAAUCAAUAGAUAAUUUGCCCCAGCGGAAAAUAUUCCUUUAUGAACAAUUGCCAAGCUUUUAUCAUAGGAUUCACCUCACCUGAUUAAUUUCUUCUCCAGUGCUAACAGAAUUCUAUUACUUGGGUAAAAUCAGAUACAUUUGUGGCCUACAUUAUGUCAAAAGCUGAAUUUUUCUUCCUACAUGGACAUUAGAGGAAGAUGUCAGUUAGGAUAAAUAUAUGAGCCAUACUAUGAAAAUUAUUAUUUUUUAAACUAGGGUGUUGAAGAUCCUUAAUAUAAAGCAGACCUCCAUUUCUACAUAGGGAUUUAAGCAAACAGAGCAUAUUGCCUUUGCAUGACAAAAUCUUGAUUGCAGGACAGGCUGCAUGGAUGGCUCCUGUGAAAAGACACCAGAAGCUGCCCUUGUGUUGGAAGAAGCCUAUUCCAGUAGAUUCCAAGAUGAGAAGGUAGAAGAGUUAAGAAUUAAGUUGAGCCCAGGAAGAAAGGAGGGGCAGCGGAAAGUAGCUUUUGGUUUAAUUAUUAUUUUUUAUCCUAUUCUGUUUACCAAUAAUUGGAAAUAAAUUGAAUUCAUCUCCCCAAGCCAAAUUUGUUUUGCCUGUGACACUAAUGGAUAUGUCAACUCACUAGCUUAUCACUGCAUUUUCUCAAUCUAUCUUGUUGAUGGAAGAGAAGUGAGAGAGUCACUUGGUGGGCAUCUGAUGUCCAAGCAAGAACAAUCUACCACAGAAAGAAGAGGUCUCUCACUCUCCUUUAGAAAUCUCUCAUCCCUUCAUUACUGAUUACAUAUACAUCCAGAGAAUGAGGCAGACUUUAUUACUUUCCUCUAACAUCAGGAUCCCAGAACAGAAUUUGGAAUUCACUGAGACAAAAAAAAAAAAAAAAAAAAAAACCAAAAAAACAAAAAGCCAAAAAAAACCCCCAAAACAAACAAAAACUAAACCAAAAAAACCCCAUACUAUAAUCCAAUAAGUGAAGAUCUUAACUGGCUUCUGUCUACUCCAUCUUACUUAAAGACAUAUGGAGAUUUGAAGUCGGAAUCCUUUUUUCAAGAUGAAAGUUAUAUUCCUACAAAUGUUUCAUAGAACACUAUAUUGAGAUCCCUAAAUACAUUUUUUUUUCUUUUCUACAGGAAAUUUAAAGGCUUUAGAUUCCAUUCCAAAAUACAAGACUGGCAUUCAACAAACCAGUUAAGCAGAGCUUAAGAGCCUAGUUCAAGAUUGAUUUGAGAAAAUACCAGCUUAUCUACCAUGUAGCCAAGUUUUCAUUCUUGAAAUAUGAUUUAUUUACCAGUCUACUUUUAUUUAGUGCCAAUUUAGAUAUGCUAAAGUGUCCCAUUUGAUUUCUGUUUGCCUUUCUAAAACUGUGUUGAACCUUUUUAGCUGAUAUCAUGUAUCAUAUUUAUCAGCCCUAAGAAAACAUCUUGUACAACUGGACAGCUGAAAAUGGGAGAUGAAUAAACUGAAUUCUACUUUUAGAACCCAAGAGAGAAAUUUCUCUGAGUAUAUGCGGUUCUGUUUGUAUAAUCCUAAAGGUAUGUCCAUAUCUUUGGUAUGAGAUGGAUCAUUUGGUUUAUAAUUAUCUAAGCCCAAAGAAACAGACUUCCUUAAAUCAUGCCUACCUUACUAACACUUAAAUUAAGAGUGCAAAUUUUCAGCAUGUCCCUGCUAAAUCACUAAGUGUUUCACAUAUUAGAAAGUCUACCUUUAAUAUUCACCUUUAGCCAGUUUAGAGAUGAAAAUAAAAUGUCAAUGAAAGGCUGAAAUAUUUGGUCUGCCAUUCAGAGGAAUCUUAACAAGCUGAAGAAAGGGGCCAAGAUGAACCCCAUGAAGCUGAUGAAAGAAAAGUUUUGGGUCCUUUAUCCGAAGAGGAAUAAAUCCACACACCAGUAAACAAUGGAGGGUGAUUGUCUGUCUACAAAGGAGCUUUGCAAAAAGAAUCUAGUGUUCCUGGUAGACCAUGAAUUGACCACGAAUCACAAGUGUCCCAGGAGUGGAAAAAAAAGACUACAGCAUCCUGAGCAGGAAUAGCAUUUCUAGCAGAUAGAAAGAGGAGAUCCUUCUCCUCUACUUAGCACUAUGGAGUGCAUCCAGUUUUGAGCUCUCUGGCAGAAUACUGGGGACAAUCUAGUGCAGGACUGCAGAGACCCUUAUGGGACUGGAGCACCUUUCAUGCAAAGGGAGCUGGGACAUGUAGGACAUUUCUCUUUGCAGAAGGUUUGGGGGCACUGCAAGGGAUUGGUGCAGGUCUUACCAAUGUUUAUAAAUAUUUGAUGGGAGUGAAUGAAGAAGUGGGAGCCAGAUCCUUCUCAGUGGUGCCCACUGACAGUACAGAAGGCAAGAGAUAGAAAUUGAAAAACAGUAACAUUUUCAUAUUAUCACAAGAAUAAACAAGUCCAACACUUGAAGAGGUUAUCCAGAGAGGCUGUGCAGUUUGCAUCCCUCAAGAUAUUCAAAACCUGAGAGGAUAGCGACCUGGGCACCCUGCUGUAGUUGAUCGUACUCUAUGGCGGAGUGUCCAUGUUGUCCAAAGGCCCGUUAGGACCUCAAUGAUUCUGUGAUCUUACUAAUCAGAUACUUAACAGUGGACUAUUAGAAUUGAGCCAAAUGAAGCUUUAGUGGAGAAUGUACAGUCUCUUACCAGCUGAACUACACUAGACUGGGGAAUAUACCUUGCUGUUUGAUCAGUCAUCUGUGUUUUAAAACUGUUUCUGUUGAAAUGAAAACAAUAUUUCAACAACUUUCAUCAUUGAAAUUGCACAAAAAAACUAUAGAGAACAAUCUUUCAUUGGCAGACGUUGGACUUUGUAACUUAUGAUAUAAUUUUUAAGUCAAAUUUAUUACUAUAUCAACAAAAACAAAACAAACAAACAAACAAAAAAAACCCAAACCAACACUUGCUCUAGUAAUUCAUUAUACCAUGGAGUCGGUCCCUUUAAUAUUGCAAAACUGCGUAAGUAAUGACAUCUUGUAUUAGUAUUAGAUCUGCAUUUAUAGAACAAUUGCUGUUACUGCUGUUAUGUUUUAUAUUAUACUUGUCUAUGAAAGUUGGGAGGUGUUAAUCAACUGAACAAUGCUGGUUUAGCAGACAUAAGAUAAUAAAAGGACAGGUUGAUAACAAUCAUUACUUUAGAACUAAUAAAAUCUGUUGUGUGUAAUUUACUUAUAAAAGUUAAAGCUCGCUGUAAUUGGUCUGUCAUUUUUUAUUACUGAAAAAUAUGCUCCUGUUCUCAUUAUAAGACUUGUUGUUGCAAGGCAGUUUGUAGGUGCCAUAGUCUGGCUCAGUUUGACUUCGCAGAAAAAUUAUAGAUGUCAUCUCUAGGAGAAGAAAACCAGAAUGGGCUGUAUGUGCUCUUUUUACAAUGUCUUCAGCAGGCACACAUUAUUAGUAGAGAGGAUAUCAGCCCAAAGUUUCUUAGCUGCAAAAAAGGUUUAGGGAAUUUCAUUGCAUAUAUUUAAAGACUAAGUUGAAUUGUUAAUAUAUGAAAGUUUUAAAGCUAGUUCUUGAGGAACAUAUGACAGAUGGUGUAGUUUCCCCCCCUCACGCAGCCCCCAGAAUGCUCCGACUAGCUCAGAGAUAAGGGGUUGUGAGGGGAGGAAUAUCAGGAGAAAGGUAAAGGUAUUCAAAAGAGGCUCUCACCCCAAGGUAUGUUGGUACUGCCCUCUUUAUUCUGUGAUGUCCAUGUGGAGAGCGGGGCAAAAGAGAAUGAACAGGAAAUGUCAGGGGGUCUAUAUAAGUUUUGGACAGGGCGGGCUUUCCUGGCUCUCCGCCAGCCCCAUUGGGGCAGGAAGAAGGGGUCCAGGGGUUAUCUUGAUCAGAGUCACAGGGUCCUGGGGAAGGGGAAUGAUAUGAAGUAUGUCCUUGCAGAGGUCUUCCAUUGUAUUUCACGACUGAGAGAUAUUACCAUUAUGUCCUUGUCCUUUCCAUUUUUCUCACUUCUGCCUAUGAUUUUUGGAAAGCACUUCCUUUAUUUAAGUGCUCUACUGGAUAAAAGAAGUCAGAAGAAACUUCCAGGAGGAUGAAGUGAAGGCAAAAUAUGUGCUGAAGAGAGUGCCACCAUAAAUAACAAAAUAAUACGAGGUCUACUGUUAAUAACUCUGAGGUCAAGACUCACAGUUUAAUUGUAUUACAGAUUCAUCACACUCUGGUCAGUUUAGGAUGUAGUUGUGAAACAGGAAAAUAAUUGUUGCGGUAAAAUGAAAAGAAAGGAAGUAAAAGAAAUUGCCUUUGGAUUCAGAAAAGUUAUUUAAAAAUAGGAAAGCAAAAUACUACUUUUGUAAGUGUUGCAAAUUAUUUUUUUUCUGUCUUGGGGUUAUUAAAUUCCAGCACUGACUGCUUGUGAUAUUUCAGUAAUCAUCUGACUGGUGACAAAAAUUAUAAAAGUAUUAAAAUAUUCCUGUUUUCCUACAAAAAAAAAAAAAAGUGGCUGAUAGACCAAAAAAAAAAAAAAAGGGGAAUAUAAUUAGCGGCAUGGAUCAGAUGCUACAUCUCUUAUUUUACAAAGCAGCACACUUAGCCAUUAUCUAGUGUUUGUGCUUUUAAUCCAAUCAGUACAAGAUAUGUAAUUUUUGAAAACAAAGUGGCAUGUUUCAUAUGACUGUUAUUAUUGUCCCAGAAAAUUGAUAAUAGAAUCCCAGAAUAAUUUCAGUUGGAAAAUACACUUAAGAUUAUUGAGUCCAACUGCCACCUAGUACUGCUGUGUCUACCACUAAACCAUGUAUGUAGGUACUUCUUUUACACACCUUUUAAAUACCUCCAAGAAUAGGGACUCAACCUUUUUUAAAUCUUUGGCUCUGCAAAAGGUUUAAAUAGCAGAAAAAAAUUGCUUUCUCACAAUGCAGAAUUUAACUGUGGAAUUUCUUGACAUGAGGGAAAAAAAAAAAAAAGAAAAGAUAGAACAAAUUUAUAAAAUUAAAAACAAUUGAGUCAAAUUAGAAUUGUCAAUGUAUAUUUGAAGGGGUUUUUGUCCAGGUAUGACCUCAAAGCAAUCCUUACACUGGUGGCUGAAAAAUAUUAGAGAAUAAAAUUGACAUAUGCAUGACCUUUCCCUCAUACUUCUGCUCCUGGCAUAAAAUUAUGUUUUGAAGAAAAAUACCAGAGGUUCUUUUUGGUCCAGCAAGGUCUUUACUAACUGUAUAAUGAUCUGGGAAUGUAGGAAUUUUAUUCUUACCUUCAUAUUAUGAACUAUUUUAUUCUACUUUUUACUAUAAAUCUAUAGUAAAAAUUUUGGAUUAGAUAUAAGUUGCAUUUUAACUUUGUUUUUUAUUUAUAUAAUGCUAAAUAUUUACUGAUUACUUAAUAGUAUUUUUACUUGUUUAUUAGAAGCUUUUACUUUUCCAUAUAAUCACAAGAUUAUUAUUAAAUAUUAAAUUUUCUUACACUAUUUUGUACAUCACUUUUGUACUUCUUCAAUUUUAGUUUAAUUUCAUGUUGCACAUUUCAGCUGUACUUCAGGUAUUGAUACUUAAUAUUUUUUUUUUCAGUUUCCAUUCUUUUGAGGCUUUAAUGCAAGUAUGGAACAGUCUGCUUGAAGCCAAAGUGGCAUUACCCCAUUAUUUUUUAUUGAAUAUGUUAUAUUGAAAACAGCAAAUAAAAUUUUCAUUUCUAUGAACUCUGUAAGUGAAUGUUAAAGACCCAAGGGCCUAAUAAAAUUCUUACAUGAAUCAAUGAUUUGAGAUUACUUUGGAGAAAAAGGUCUUUUCCAACCUAAAUAAUUCUACCGUUCAUUGAUUUACAGUAACAUCAAACAGUUUUUCUACCUUCUUGGCUACUCUCAGAAAUCUUUUACCCUUCUUAAAUGACACCAAAUAACAUCAAAUAUUUCUACAUCAGUUACAGUGAAAUGAAAUUCUUUUAUUAUGCAUGUAGAGUUAGGAUGAGUGCCCUUCUCCCAUCCUUUCUACUAUCUCCAGGUACAGAUUUUAAUUUUUGAAUUUGUUACCAUUUCUGUAGGGUACCUUGAUGGAAAACCUUAUUAACACCUGCAAAUAUAUGCACAUUCUAACAAUUAGAUCUUCAUUAUUCUCAAAGUUUAGGGAUAUAUUAAUACCAACAUCUUUAAUGUGCUUACAACUGCUCUCUGAUUUGAGCUCAGAAAAGGGCACAGUUUUUGUUUCAUAUUCUCCAAAACAUGUGGCUCCAUGUUGACAAUGCUCUCUGGGGAUUGUGUCAGCUUUUAAAUUGUAAACAGGACUGUGACAGUUGGCAUGAGUCACUAGUUUUCCACAGCGUAUUCUAACAGUUUAUUGGUAAAUAAAAUCGAGCUCCAUUGCCUAGGAAUGUUCCCAAAGUAGCCACUGAUUUUUUUAGAAUACUGUAUUGAUUUUAGAUGGAAAGUAUGCUCUCUUUCUAUCUCCAUUCAUUUUUUUCCCUUUUCCAUCUCCCUCUCCAUCUCUCUCUGUCUCUUCUCUCUCUCUCUUCUUUUCCCCCCUUCCAGUCUUAGAGUUCUACAGUUUGCCUCAAGUUAAAUCAGAUUUGUCAGUUCAUUUUCCUAGUUCUCUCCUGGAGUCUUUUAAAAUUGAUGUCCUAUUUGAUCCUUUCCAUCCUUAUGAUUUUAACUAGAAGUUAGCAAUUUCAUAUUUAAUUACCUUUAGUGUUCCUGUCUGAAUAUCAUCUCUUCAUGUCAAUGUCUUAUUAAUAUUUUUAUUGGUUUAUCUUAGUAGUCAUUUACUGACACUUUAAUUUGAGACAGUUCCUAAAGUGUUCCUUGAUUAAAAAAUGGAGAACCACUAUGAAGAUACAUUAGGAGUACAAAUACACUACAUUUUUAGCUGUUCUGCUAUACACAUUUCUUCCUUGAGUCUUUAGCACUUGUAUCAUCUUUUGAACCUCAUUAAAUAUUUGACUGUGUUCCUGACUUCCUGUGCUCAAAAAUACUCUAUUGUAUGUUUUAAUGAUGUUAGUAAGUCACUCCUAAACACUUUAAAACAGCUACAUUUAUCUCAAAAAAAAUAUACUAUCCUAUUCUACAUACAUACUCCUUAGUUGCCUAUCAACUAACAACUUCUGACUCUCUGCUGAGAGUCUGAGACACAGCUGGAUCCAAUUGGUCAUUGAACCCAAACAACCUUCACCAGAAUCCAAUCAAGCAAUCACUUCUGGUAAACAAUCUCCAUACCAAAUUCCACAUGGAGAAAACAAAGGAACAAAGAUAAAGAUUGUUUUGUCUUUUUCUCUCUGUGCUGCUCCUGAGAGACAGAAUUAUCUCUCUCUGUCCAGAGAAUGUGAAUGCCACCGAAAUGGUACUGUCUGUAAAGGAGUUUGACAUCCAGACUCCAGAUCUUGGCCUUUUUUGAUUUCAAACAUGUAUGAAGUCAAUUGAAUAUCUUCAUCAUGAAGUUAGCAUAGUACAUUCUACUCGAUGUCUCAGAUAGAAAGGAGCAUGUGAAAAACUACUAGAGCUGGAUAAGCAAGAAGGAGCAUGUGUAUCUGUAGAGGAGAGAGACCACUGUGAGUCAGGAGUUCUGCUUCUUGUUCUAUUUGUAUAAAUAGGUGCUGCAGUUUAGACCCAUAUAGGGAAUUAUUUUAUAGCUAAAAAUUCUCCCUGCUUCUGACCUACUGCAGGGAUUUCUGAUGUCUGAAAUACAGAAACAGGUAACAGCAGUAGGUGUUAACUCCCUUUGAAGCAGCAGCUUUACAAAAGGAGGUUCUUUGAAACAGACUGUUGACAGUAAAAGAGAAAAGAUUUAAAGAUGGCAUAAUGGUGAGUCAAUUCCUUUUUUUUUUUUUUUUUUUUGUAUCCUCUGCACCCCCACUCCAAGCACAGUUCUUUCUGGCCUACAGCUGAGUGACUGUCCCAGUUCCUGCUUUCAUGUUCACCCCUCCAGAGGAGCCUGGUUCUUUGCACAGAUUCAUUACAAGGCAGUCUUCUGUUUCACAUAAUCUUGUUCAAAGUGUGUACUAAGCUAGUAUAAUAAUUUCUUUAUCUAUAUUCUUGGCCCAACCUUCCAGAAGCCAUUGUGAAAUCAGUAUUUGUUUGUAAGUGUAAUUAAAACAUUUUUUAAAGGCAAAACCUAUUCUAUUUCAGGGAAUUUGAUUGUACUUCUCAGUUGCUGGUUUUCUCAAGAGGGCAACAAUGUAAAAUGGUUGCGCUUAACUUUUCUUGCUUGAAUGUCAAGUUCAUUAUAGAUUAUGAGCUAAUACAUAAAUAAGGAAAGAAAUAUGCAUGGUUUUCAAUUUAGAAACAGCUAUUUACUUUAGUAGGUGCCAAAUUUCGACAUAGUCAUUAUUCCAUUGUUUCAAGAAGUUUUGGUGUUAUGUCAUAAACUCCAUGCAAGUUUCUUACUAAACUAGUUCAAGACACCAGCUGUAGAAUAAAAUCAAACAUUGAGACUGAGCAAAAAAAAAUUCUGAUUUGCUUCAAACCCCUUCUUCCACUAUAAAAUUUAUAAAAACUGAACUUACAAUGCUACCAUGAAACAUGAAUCAAAACUCUGUAUUAGAUGAAGGAUAAGGGGAGCUUGAAGCUUUAGUAUAUCAGUUAGUGGAAUAAUACAAUGAUUUUUUUUAUAUAUGAACAAUUUUUAUGAGUCUUGAGAAACAUAAAACUUGGGCUUGAAGUACACCUAAUAGCUCUAAAAAUAGAGAGUAAAUAUACAGCAAUGGAGUGUUCAGUGUGUUAAGCAACCAUUUAAAUGAUGCCAUUCUGAAGCACAAAUUGGUUUAUUUUUUGUUGCUUCCAAAUGAUUUUAGGACAAAUACUUUUUAUUGAUGUCUAUGAAUAGUAACUGACAUUUCAAACUAAACCUUAACUCUGCAGAUUGUUCUUGGUUAGAUUUGUACAUGACUGAAGGCUCACAAAAAUGUCCUGUAAUGAAAGCAUUUUACAGUGGUUGAAUAUCAAUGUGCAGUAUGCAAAGUUCAUUAUAAUGCUGAGCAUACUAGGAAAUGUGUCAAUUUGUAAUGUUUAUGGCUGAUAAUGUCAUCAGAAUAAGUUCCGAUUUAUUGGCACAUGCACAGCAAGAGGAAGAUGACACUUAAAUAAAAUUAGUGUUUUCACAUUUCUUUUUAGAGGUUUGCUACAUAAUAGAAACAAACACUUAUCAUUAAGAAGGCUGAAUUAAAAUUUAGUGCAAUAACCAUGAAAAUAUUGUUAUUCACAGCAUACCUGCAAUGUAAUACAUCCUGUGCAGUAUGACUCUCUGGAGAAUUACUCCUUAUCUUCCUUUGUUCAUUCACUUAUAUUUCAGACUGCACUCUAUUCCAAUAUCUUUAUUUAGGACAAUAGCAGAGCUACCAACUCCAGCUGUGUUUUGAGAAUGACUCACAGAACUUUAGGAUCUUAGAUGUUCAAAACAGAUAUCCCUACUGAGCAGCUACCCAGAAAGGCAUUAGGCAUUUUGACAACAUGUUGGAGUGUAAGAAGUUAUUACAAUUGAUAUGUGGGAAAGGAGAUAAGAAACAACUCUAACAACAGGCAAAGAGACUCAGCUGCUAAAAGAAAAUGCCAAAACCACAAGUCAAUGCUACUUUGCUUUGUGGCAGAUAGACAUAAUUUGUUUCUUUUCCAGAGAGGAAAGGAAUGCCUUUGUUACCCUUUACUCAAAUCAAACUUGAACGAUAUCCAAGGUACCUCUGUGCAUUUUUGAUAACAAAAAAGAAUCUACAACUUUUUUUGUUUUAGGGUUUUCCCAUUACUGUCAUAAACAAGAUGCAUUUUCAAAGCUAACUUCAGUAUUUUUGAAACAUUUUCUUUCUGUACCAAAGCAAAGUUUAAAAAUAUGGUUUACACUUUGGGGUUAUGUAUAGAUAAUCAUAUUCACCAUCCCAACACUGUGAUUCCUAUCCUUUCCUCCCUGUUUUCAGGUAACAAAACAGAAGAGUGAUUUUUUGAAACUAAUUGGGAUAUGCUUCUGCAUUAUAAAAAACUUUACUGAUGAAAACAGAAUUAUUUUGGAAGAAUAAUCUAAAGAGGAGAUCCUCAAGACCAUACUCAAACUACUGUCUUAGGUCUGAGUCCUGUGUUAAGGUUUCUGACUGUCCUUAUCCAUUUCAGCUUAGUUUAUCCUUUCAGGGAAGAUUUUAAAGCUUCUGCUUAUGUGCAGAGAUGAUCUAGCAAGAACAAGAGCUUGAUUCUCCACUGCUGCUCUCACAAGUUAGAGUUAGGUUCAGAUAUGUUUAAUAGAAGGGUCUCCUCUGAGAUGCUUGACAUACAGAAGUUCCCAAAUACAAGGUUAAGAAUUGUUCAAACCCCCAAUGUUGUAGCUGUAGGUCAAAGAGGGUUUUGCUGCUUGGUCACCACAAUGGGAUAGAGUUGACUUCAGCUCUCUAAAGCUGGAGAAAUCACCUCUCUGUCAGUAACAGUUUUCCUGUGCUAUCCAUUACAUUACAAAGACAAGUAGAAAGGAUCAGGGUAAAUGCUGAAAAAUUUUACUUAAAGUUUUUCCCCCCCCCUUUUUUUUUUUUUUUUUUAAUGGAAGGGAAGACACAGCUGGAAAUAACAGGAGAUUCACAUGUUAGUAAUUAAUAACAAUUAAUUAACAUCAAUUCUUAAAAUGAAGAAAAAUCUGGAGCACUUAUUUGAAAAAAAUAUGACACCAUCAACACAUCAUGGGAUAUAGGUUCCUCCAUCAUUAUGACCCUUAAUUUGAAAGAACUGAUGAGUUGUUUAUGCCGAAGGAGAUGGUUUCUGCAGAUUUGAAGACCUAUCCUGGGAUAUGUUUUGUAAGAUAUUGCUCAUCCUUAGCCCUGUUAAUAGUUAGGAUGAGGUCAAAACAUUCUUGUCUCCUUCUUCUAAAAAGAGAUGUAGAUAAGCUGUCUUGAAUUAGGGAUAUGUUGUACACCACUCUCUUCCUUAGAGCCCAGAAAUAGAGGAACAAAGGAUGUAAGUACUUUUGUCUCUCUCAAGGCUGAAAGAUAAAGAAGCAUCCUCAGACACUGAAAGCCCAACUACUUGGUGGACAGUGUGUACUACGUGUUUUAUUUACACUCCUUAUCAAUUUCUUAAGAACCAAAAAUUAAUGAGACCUAAAGCUGGCUGCUCUCAAAUCUUCUGUGGCCAGAGAGCAAGUUCACUUUUCAGGCUGCAGCAGUGGUACAGGAUGGCUCAUGUAGGUAACAGCUGUCCAAGGGAAGAGAAAGGAGUCUGCAUGAGGAUUUCUGGUCUACUAACUCAGGUUGCUUGCCAGCAUGUCUGUGUCAAUUCUUCAUUACUUCUGGCAUACAGUGCUUGGGGGAGAGUUGAGCAGGGAAAUCUCAUGAAAUCUAAAAUAGCCUUGAAUAAAAUAAGUAGAUUGUUUUGUACUGCAUACUUUAAAUGUCUAAGAAACUGUUGAGGAUAUAUCAACAACCUUCUUUCUUCUCUGAAAUUUAAUCUGACUAAGGUAUUCCACAUGAUCAGUCCUUCCUCUCAGAUAUCCAGAAGAGAUUUGUUGUUGUGUGUGCCUGGGGCAAGAAGAUGCAUCUAUUUUGCUUUGGGCACAGUGAGCUCCUGUGCAUGCAGCAAAUAACCCUCAGUAUGUUUUCUGGCAAGGGUUACCACUACAGGACUAUGACUGCUGUCCAGGAUUUUGUUUUUCUAGAUGAGAAAUGUUGGAGCAGGGCAAUGUGAUUUAACCUAUCUGCUCAGAGCAAAGGCAAUUAUUUAUUUCUCUCCCUCUCAAUCCUUCAUGGAUGUGGAAAAUCUAUUAAAGUAAACUUUACCUUUGCUGUUGCCACCUGCCCUUCUCCCACUGGAACCCUGUCUUCUUCUAUUUCUAUCUUCACUAUCAAGGAAUUCUAAUAUAUUUGGCAACUUGCACUGUUUUCAAAAACACAGAAAAAAAAUAUCAAAGGUCAAGUGAGGAAGAGGAAGGACUGGAUCAGAAAAAGUCAAAUCUACCCAGAAGACCACCUGUUCCCACCCUCUGUUAUUUUUGGCAAUAUGUAGCAGGUGCAGGUUUGCAAUGUUAUUUCAGCAACAGCCAGGGUUUUAAAGCAUUACCAACCACGUAAACACACGAGUUCUGGUAAAAUUCAUCCAUCACAGCAGCUUCAGCUGUGCACCUUUCCUAGCAAACUGUCCUGUAAAGCAAAAUUAUUCCUCUGAAUGGGAGAAAUAUUUGUUGACCUGAAGGCAUCUGCUUAGAGAAAAAUUGUGAUGGCUGUUCUGGGAAGUGUGUCUAACAAAUUUUAAACUCAAAAUUUUGACCUUUUAGACACUUGCAGUAUAUGGUGUAAUUUCUUCAGGCUAAAUCUAGAUGUAUAAAGCUAAAGUAAAGCCAGUUAAAGCAAGUUAAACUCUAGUCACCUAACUAUUGUCCAAUUUUCUGCUUCAACCAAGAUUAGCUACAAUAAGACAGACAAGUCUAGACAAGGCCAAGCAAAUGCUUAAGCCUUUAUAUACCUCUCAUGAAUGAGUGUUCUAAGGCUGUGUAAAGAAUCACGAUCAAAGGUAUUGGCAAAACCAGGUUUAAUAUCAAAGGGGGAGCAUGACAAAGUUUGCUGGCAAGAUUCAGUCUACAUUUUACUACAUGGUUACAGCACACCAAGAAAAACAAGAAAAAAAUCUCAAAUUAAUAGAAACUCAAGAUUAUCUAUGUGGAGAUUUGAGGGGGUGGUGGGGGUGGUGGGAUAAGACAGGAAGAAAAUUAUAGGAAGUGAUAA